GCCGGAGGAGGCAAUCGUUAUCCGGAAUUAUUGGGCGUAAAGGGUACGUAGGCGGCUGGUCAAGUCUGGGGUCAAAGGCCACAGCUCAACUGUGGGAAGGCCCUGGAAACUGACCGGCUAGAGUGAGGUAGGGGUUGCGGGAAUUCCCGGUGUAGCGGUGAAAUGCGUAGAGAUCGGGAAGAACACCUGAGGCGGAAGCGCGCAACUGGGCCUCAACUGACGCUGAGGUACGAAAGCUAGGGGAGAGAAUGGG
rnacentral:rRNA from 1 species